GUUUCAAAGCUUAAGAACCUUGAGGUUUUGAAUUUGAAGAACAAUCAGUUGACUAGUCCUAUCGCUACAACUCUUACCCAAAUUCCAAACCUUAGAACCCUUGAUCUUUCUCGGAACCAGUUCACUGGUGAGAUACCAAGGCUAAUAUCUUGGAAUGAAGUUUUGCAGUACCUUGGAUUGCGAGGCAACUCUUUGACUGGAGCACUGUCCCCUGAUGUGUCAAUUAACUAGUCUGUGGUACUUGAAGUCAUCUAGUUAAUGUACACGGAAGACAUUGCUAGCCAAAGCAAUUGCAAGCAAGAGAGAUGCUAACUUUCUAAAGGUUGUAUCAAGCGCCAUUAUUGAUAAGUUCAUUGGUGAAAGUGCAAGAUUGAUAAGGGAAAUGUUUGGUUAUGCUUGU
rnacentral:lncRNA from 1 species